GAUGAACGCUGGCGGCGUGCCUAAUACAUGCAAGUCGAGCGAACAGAUGAGGAGCUUGCUCCUCUGACGUUAGCGGCGGACGGGUGAGUAACACGUGGAUAACCUACCUAUAAGACUGGGAUAACUUCGGGAAACCGGAGCUAAUACCGGAUAAUAUAUUGAACCGCAUGGUUCAAUAGUUAAAGACGGUUUUGCUGUCACUUAUAGAUGGAUCCGCGCCGAAUUAGCUAGUUGGUAAGGUAACGGCUUACCAAGGCAACGAUGCGUAGCCGACCUGAGAGGGUGAUCGGCCACACUGGAACUGAGACACGGUCCAGACUCCUACGGGAGGAAGCAGUAGGGAAUCUUCCGCAAUGGGCGAAAGCCUGACGGAGCAACGCCGCGUGAGUGAUGAAGGUCUUCGGAUCGUAAAACUCUGUUAUUAGGGAAGAACAAAUGUGUAAGUAACUAUGCACGUCUUGACGGUACCUAAUCAGAAAGCCACGGCUAACUACGUG
rnacentral:rRNA from 1 species